GGAGCUUUUGUUUUCUUAGCUCUAGGCCCCGGGAGAGGAGUGUGUCUCCACCCGCACAAAGUGUUCCCCAAACAAUGUGAGACACACGCCAAAUUGGAGUCCAGCCAGGCCCCAGCUACAGCGCUGAACUCCUGCUUGCCGCCCAUGGGCACACACAAAAGGCAGGCCCAGGUUACCACAGCCUCCCAGGUAAAGACCAAAGCUGCUAUUUGUCAUCAUUAAGCGAACGGGCCAUUCUUUUUCCUUCUGUGCUCUAAUCAGUGGCAGUGAAACCGGACUGGAAAAAAAAAAAGUGGGACAAAGAACCACUCCAAAUUCUGGACUCAGAAGUCCAAUUAUUCAAUGAAGUGGAAGAAAUGGGAAUGAGCAGUCUGCUUCAUGGAGUAUCACACAAUAUCCUGUCAUUGAAAUAUGACAGAACUCUAUCAGAAGAAAGCCUCAACCAUUUAAGGUGGGAAAAAAGCAGCAAAUAA
rnacentral:lncRNA from 1 species